rnacentral:rRNA from 1 species
CGUCCCGGUUUAGCAUUUCACCUUCUUGUCUCCUCCCCCUAGUUUUAGGGAUCGCGUCGGAGUUAAGGGAAACCCGGACCGUGUAGAGUAGAGAGAGAGAGAGGGGAAGAAGAGGUGGUGGCCGGCGGCGGUGCCGGUCCGGCCGCACCAUCACGCGGAGGCGGUGGGUAGGUAGGUGCUCGUGUGGGUGGAGGUUGUGGUGUAGUGGGUAGAGGUAGGUGGUCGCGGCGUAGUGGUGGAGCGCGGUAGUAGGUGGUAGUGGUCGCGGUGGUAGUGGUGAGCGCGCAGGGUAGUCUGUGCUCCCGCGCCCGCAGACUUGGAGGGGUACUCAGGAAGAAGAAGGGUGCAGGACGACGACGAGAAGAACGUGGGCUCAACGACGAGGAAAGAGAGAAGGAAACGACGACGAGUUGGGAAGAGACAACGACGGGAGCGAAACGAAGAAGGGAAUGGAACAACGACGAGACUUGAAGAGGAAAGAGAUGACGACUUCGAAUGACGACGACGAGCAGAGGUUGACUUGGACGACAGAGAGAGAGAGAGACUUUAAGGAUAUUUGAAUUCUUCACAUGACAAGUCUUAACACAUUACAAGUCUAAAAUAUUUACGAACGUUAGACACUUACUAAGUCAAAGUACGAAUAUUUAUAACAUAGUGGAUAACACGCAAGAGUGAUCAACUUCACAAGAACAACACAUAAACAUCAGACAGCCAAUGGUAUGACAAUAUACAAACUACCAAUAUACACAAGUACAGAACAACUAAGGGAAAGCAGUAACUACAAACAGACACAAUCACAAAAUUAAGGAGUUCGGAUUAUUUUUAUGGUUUUUCUAUCAUAUUAGACUUACAUGGAAACGAACUAAAGAAAAAGGAACAGCUGCCAAAAGGCCUUGACAGAAUCUAUCAAAUACAAUAAUCAAAGAACGUUAGGAGAGAAUUUUAACACAAUGGAUCUAAAUCGACUCGUAGCAGCGGCAGCGGAUCAGGGACACCUCUUGUGCUGUGAGUGCUAAAUCCGCUUUAUAGGGUGGCGUGGAUGUUAACUAGUAAAACCGCGGCAACGGCCCCUGAUCGCAGCACGCUGGCACAAUCCGAUAUCUGAUCCAAAACGAAGACAAAGAUAAAUCACGGUAUAUAAACACUAUAUAGAGAAUGGGGAUUGGUAACAAGAUCAAUAUAAGAGAAAGAAAAGAACAAGUAAAACAUCCAACUUAACAGAAGAACCUUUACCGUAAGAUGAGUCUAGUAGUACGAAUACGCUCGUUGUGAUGUUUGUUGUGUCUUUCAUAAGUUCUUGACUAUUCAUUCUAAAGGGUAGCUAAUCUACUAAAUCGAGCCGCCGCUCUUCAUCAAAAACUCCUAUCCGGAUCGAGAAUACUAGGAAUAAGAUCUCCGGUAGGAAUACAACGAGGAUGGACGGUAUAAACACCUAAAGUCCCGGUAAGCGGGCGACUUACAGUCGCACCAAUGAGAAUGGGAUGUCUAACUAAACCGUACUCGAAGCGAGUUCUCGUAUCGAGUAUGGUUUUGUUAAUGAGUGUACCCACCGGGCUUUUGGGCUUAUACAGUAUAUCCUCGUUGUUGGGACUCUAGAGUAGUAAACGGAGAUCAAUAGGUUACGUUCCUAAAUCCUUACUUCUCCUCUCGUUGUUGAUACGUGGUGUUGUUACGAUAAGUGGAGGAUGAGUAUAUGGAGUUGUGUUCCUCUACAACGCCUACCUCAAUUUACCAGGAGGUAAACCAGUUGGUUGUUGAGGUCGUGGACAACACGUUAGAGUACACGUUCACGGGUGUGUUCUACUCAAGCUACUGUAUCUGUUCGAGUGUGAAAAUUCAGAGCUCAAGUGAACCUCACGGCUCCUACUAGGAUAAUCCUUCCAAUAUGAUCUCCUUUACUUCUUCUAGUUCUGACCUUUUCUCGAACACCUUCUUCAUUCCUUAUAACUCUUCUUGUAGUUACGACCAUCGUGAUAAAGAAGUGUCGAUCUCGACUCAUAAAGACCCUAUGGGGAACUAUGUACACUCCAGGGUUGUGGAAGUGUAAGUCAACUCGUUCUAUCGCUCUCAGAUCUCCUUCUCUAUGAAGUCUAGGUUCUUCUUUAAGAGCUUCGGUUCCGUGUUCUACUAGGUCUCGAGCUUAUGGGUUUACUUGUUCAACUUCUAAGUUACAGAUGGUGAGGGCUUCUUCAUCUUCUUCGACAACAUCAACUUCUACUUCUUGGUCUUUAAGUUAAAGGAUAGUAGUAUGUUCUCACACUGUAACGUCCAAAUAGAUUAGGAGAGUUACCGUACAGGGGUAUACUUAACAAACGAUGAUGGAACGUAACGUACUACGGUAGACAAUUUCAUCUAAACUUUUUCAUAAACGAACCUAUACUGGUAUAUAUGGGACAAUCACCGUAAUGAGUGUAAUCACUACUAGUGUUAAUGAAAGGAGCACGAUCUGGAUACGAAAUACUUUGUAUAGUAAGGGUACGAUCAGAACUCGAAUUACUAUUUAUAGUAGGAGUACAAUCACAACUGGAACGACUAAAGAUGGUAGGAUUUGUACACGAAAUAUCGAUACGAAUACAUUAACCAAUGAGCUAACUACUGAACCUCCCAUAAUAGGGAUGGCGAACGUAACAGAGAAAACACCUCACAAAAAAGUCCAACAACGAAGACGUGGUAAGUGAAGUACGACUGGUCCAAGCUCCGCUGUAAGGAACCCUGGGUCCACCUAGGACUCGUGCCUCUACUCGUCUUCGUUCCCACGUUUGUGUUUCUUCUCACUUCGACCUCGUAGGUACUCCUUCGUUUCCUCUUCUCGACGUCAACCACUCCACUAGCUCGCUCACGAUGUAGUAGUUUCGGGCCACUCUACAAAGUACGGGGUAAAACUUUAGUAGUAGGUAACUACGAACGACCUAAUUUAACGAUAAACCCAACGAACACGGUAAAGAAUUUACAACAGGGUGACUUAAAGUGGAAACUGUAUACCACGAACUACUCUUAUACGCUUGACUAACAACUUACGGAACAUUUGAUCACUAGAUGUGGGACAAACGAAACGACUUUUAUCACUUUCGAUAAUCAAAACUCACGAGUUUAGGGAUCACGUGAUCAUUUGAAUUAGUAAAAGACGAAAAUGGUACUAUGUGAGUCUAGUAAUUCACAAUUUACGACUCAAACACGGAUAACACAAGGGUAACUCUCGUUAGUGAAAUGGUGAUACAUGAACAUACGAUACAAGGGACCUAGCCAUCGUACACUUGGUCUGUACCUCUUCACUACUAAGGACAAAAACACGAAUACGCAACAAGUAAAUUCUAUUCAUUAUUACUUAUUUAUUCAGACUGAUGGAUGUCAUCGUACAGUACAAGGGACCUAGCCACCGUACACUUUAGCCCAAUCGAACCCGUCAUUAAUUAUUAUUUUUAACAUUAACAGUUUGGUCCACAUAUGGUACAAGAGACCUAGCCACCAUACAAGGAAACCCCUCUGUUUGUUUUUUUCGAUUAUUAACCAACUAGGUCCACAUAUGGUACAAGAGCCCUAGCCACCAUACAAGGAAACCACUCUGGCUAUUUUAUAAUAGUAAUGAAGGAAGUUUAAGUUAUUCACGAAGUUGGUAUUACAAUACAAGGCCCAUUACUCAAAAAAACCCUAGUACGAGAGAAAACCUUGGGAAACCGUGUUAGUCGUAAACUUGAACAACUAGGUUAAAAUAGUAACAUUUUCGAAUUUUAUUAACUCAGAUGAUCAUAGGAUAACGGAACAUCGUGAGAAUUGGUAACUAAAAGUGAUCGUUUCAAGUUUCGUACGUAACAAACCUCUAGAUGAAGUGACCCUGUAAGAGAUCAGUCAAGCGACAAGUGAUGGAACGAGAACAGUUUACGGAAAUGAACUCCUGUUCGUUUCUAAAUUCACACCCCCUUGAACUAUUCACGUAAAGGAUAAGUAUAAAACCGUGUGUUUGUGUGGUAAAUAACACUAGGUUGCUAGGUAAGAACAAUACUUGAUACUAUAUAAACUUACUUUUAGUAUAUUUUCUAGUAAAUGAGCAGUAAACUAAUAAAACGUCUUUUCACGCGUUUCCGUGAUAUUUGAAAUUCUAAGCCUGUUUAACCGACAAUUUUUCUCUCUUCCCGUCCUUUCUUCACUUCUUUCCCUGAACUCGCUCUUCUUAACUUCAUUAGUUCCCCGGUUCGAUAUCUACCGUCCUGGUUGAACCCUUCUUUCUUCUCUUUAUCGUCCCGGUUUAACAUUUCACCUUCUUGUCUCCUCCCCUAGUUUUAGGGAUCGCGUCGGAGUUAAGGGAAGCCCGGACCGUGUAGAGUAGAGAGAGGGAGAGGGGAAGAAGAGGUGGUGGCCGGCGGCGGUGCCGGUCCGGCCGCACCACCACGCGGAGGCGGUGGGUAGGUAGGUGCUCGUGUGGGUGGAGGUUGUGGUGUAGUGGGUAGAGGUAGGUGGUCGCGGCGUAGUGGUGGAGCGCGGUAGUAGGUGGUAGUGGUCGCGGUGGUAGUGGUGAGCGCGCAGGGUAGUCCGUGCUCCUGCGCCCGCAGACUUGGAGGUGCGCUCAGGAAUAAGGGUGCAGGACGACGACGAGAAGAACGCGGGCUCGACGACGAGGAAAGAGAGAAGGAAACGACGACGAGUUGGGAAGAGACAACGACGGGAGCGAAACGAAGAAGGGAAUGGAAACGACGAGACUUGAAGAGGAAAGAGAUGACGACUUCGAAUGACGACGACGAGCAGAGGUUGACUUGGACGACAGAGAGAGAGAGAGAGAGACUUUAAGGAUAUUUGAAUUCUUCACAUGACAAGUCUUAACACAUUACAAGUCUAAAAUAUUUACGAACGUCAGACACUUACUAAGUCAAAGUACGAAUAUUUAUAACAUAGUGGAUAACACGCAAGAGUGAUCAACUUCACAAGAACAACACAUAAACAUCAGACAGCCAAUGGUAUGUCAAUAUACAAACUACCAAUGUACACAAGUACAGAACAACUAAGGGAAAGCAGUAACUACAAACAGACACGAUCACAAAAUUAAGGAGUUCGGAUAAUUUUUAUGGUUUUUCUGUCAUAUUAGACUUACAUGGAAAUGAACUAAAGAAAAAGGAACAGCUGCCAAAAGGCCUUGACAGAAUCUAUCAAAUACAAUAAUCAAAGAACGUUAGGAGAGAAUUUUAACACAAUCGAUCUAAAUUGACUCGUAGCAGCAGCAGCGGAUCAGGGACUCCUCUUGUGCUGUGAGCAUCAAACCCGCAUUUUGGGGUGACAUAAAUGUUAGCUAGUGUAUAGCAGCAUCACGAAUCCGCUUCGAGACGCAGCCAUUGAAGUAGUAGUGGCAGUAGUG